CUGAAUAACCUUACUAACAUUUGAUCCAUAUUAAAUCCAUAUUCAGCCUGAAACCUUUUUUUUAAUAUUAAUAUACUUUUGGUAGUUUACAGCUUGGCUUGCUGUUUGCGAGCAGACCCACAUUAUCCUCAUUUUGAAAUCAUUGCUGACUUGCAUCUGUGUGAAAUACAUUUGUCUUGUCAAGUAGCUGUGCAUAUCUUAAGUGAAUUAUUGAUAUUACAGUUGCAGGACUGUUUGGCUGGAAAAGGAUCCAAUAAUAAGUUCAGGUGAAUGAGACUCCAUGUGGAAAAUCUGCUCCAGGUUUCUUUUGCAGGGCUGAAGGUGGUGAUUGUUUCCGUAGUUCCAAGGCCACACAAGCAAAAGGUGCAGCAGAACUGUCUAUUCAAAUUCUUCAAAUUCUUUAUUUUCAGGGCUGGAGGAGCAAGAGCAGCAGGAGAAGCCUCUUCCAGGGGCAUGAGGCCACACGAGGGGUGGAUGAAAUGCAGGGUGGCAUGCAUUCUGUUUGUACAGGUUUGGAGAGCUAAGACAUGGGAGAAGAUUGAUGCCACUUGGGAAAGGAUGGAGGAAUUGAAGAACUGGAAAAAGAAAUGGAAGAAUUGAAGAUGACAGCACUAGGGUUGGAGAAGCUUGUGGCUGGAUGGUUUUGGUUUCUUUUUCCACAGGUAUGAUGAGGAAUACAGACGGGGAAGGACUGGAGAUCCAGCAGUGGCCGUGCAAGAAAGAGCCCCCAGUGGAAGGAGAGCUUUGGAAGAAAACUGAGGCAGCAGUGAGGCUUUGCAGUUGAAGCAAUUUACAGAAAAUGGAAAACAACUUGAGAUUUGUCUGGCAGUGGUAACGGGACAGAAGCUAAAUUUUGCUGAACUGGCAUUGGCUGUAAGAGCAGGCAAGGCAGUUUCCAUUGAGAGAUGAGAACACCAGGGUUGGAGAGGGUUGCAGAUGCAUGGCUUUAGAUUCUAUAUGC
rnacentral:misc_RNA from 1 species